CCUACGGGGCGCUGCAGUGGGGAAUAUUGGACAAUGGGGGCAACCCUGAUCCAGCCAUGCCGCGUGUGUGAAGAAGGCCCUCGGGUUGUAAAGCACUUUCAGUGAGGAGGAACGCCUGGUGGUUAAUACCCAUCAGGAAAGACAUCACUCACAGAAGAAGCACCGGCUAACUCCGUGCCAGCAGCCGCGGUAAUACGGAGGGUGCGAGCGUUAAUCGGAAUUACUGGGCGUAAAGCGCGCGUAGGUGGCUUGAUAAGCCGGUUGUGAAAGCCCCGGGCUCAACCUGGGAACGGCAUCCGGAACUGUCAAGCUAGAGUGCAGGAGAGGAAGGUAGAAUUCCCGGUGUAGCGGUGAAAUGCGUAGAGAUCGGGAGGAAUACCAGUGGCGAAGGCGGCCUUCUGGACUGACACUGACACGGAGGUGCGAAAGCGUGGGUAGCAAACAGGAUUAGAUACCCCAGUAGUC
rnacentral:rRNA from 1 species